rnacentral:tmRNA from 1 species
GGGGGUGAUCGGAUUCGACUUAAGCAGUCCGAGGGUAAGUGGCAUGCCGAGGAUGUCUGGUUGGCCUCGUAAAUAACCCAGGCAAAAAACAAAUGCUAACGAAAAUACGUUAACAUUUGCUAAAGUUAUGGAACAGUUUGAUGCUUCUGAAGCACCUGCUGAACCUACUUUAGCAGCCCAAGUCUAAAUAGACUAAUCUCUAUUUAGCCCUUUUAUUAAUCAUGUCUGUGGGUUAAUAAAAGGUCUCUAACAGACUAGAGCAGCGCAUUCUCUGAGCACUGUUUCGAAAAUAAAGAGAUGGCCUUAUGCAAUCCUGUGCGUUGGAGUUCGUAAGGUGAGAUUAAUAAACGUACUACGCAUGUAGAAGCUUAUCUAAAGCGCUUUAAGGACCGGGGUUCAAUUCCCCGCACCUCCACCA